AUUGAACGCCGGCGGCAGGCUUAACACAUGCAAGUCGAGCGGAGAGAGGUAGCUUGCUACUGAUCUUAGCGGCGGACGGGUGAGUAAUGCUUAGGAAUCCGCCUAUUAGUGGGGGACAACAUUUCGAAAGGAAUGCUAAUACCGCAUACGUCCUACGGGAGAAAGCAGGGGAUCUUCGGACCUUGCGCUAAUAGAUGAGCCUAAGUCGGAUUAGCUAGUUGGUGGGGUAAAGGCCUACCAAGGCGACGAUCUGUAGCGGGUCUGAGAGGAUGAUCCGCCACACUGGGACUGAGACACGGCCCAGACUCCUACGGGAGGCAGCAGUGGGGAAUAUUGGACAAUGGGGGGAACCCUGAUCCAGCCAUGCCGCGUGUGUGAAGAAGGCCUUAUGGUUGUAAAGCACUUUAAGCGAGGAGGAGGCUACUGAGACUAAUACUCUUGGAUAGUGGACGUUACUCGCAGAAUAAGCACCGGCUAACUCUGUGCCAGCAGCCGCCGUAAAAC
rnacentral:rRNA from 1 species